UGUUCCAUAGUGUAGCGGUUAGCACGUCUGCUUUACACUCGGAAGAUCCUGGGUUCACACCCCAAUGAAGCCA
rnacentral:tRNA from 1 species